GAUGAAGAACGCAGCGAAAUGCGAUACGUAAUGUGAAUUGCAGAAUUCAGUGAAUCAUCGAGUCUUUGAACGCACAUUGCGCCCCCUGGUAUUCCGGGGGGCAUGCCUGUCCGAGCGUCAUUGCUGCCCUCAAGCACGGCUUGUGUGUUGGGCCUCCGUCCUCCUCCCGGGGGACGGGCCCGAAAGGCAGCGGCGGCACCGCGUCCGGUCCUCGAGCGUAUGGGGCUUCGUCACCCGCUCUUGUAGGCCCGGUCGGCGCUUGCCGACACAUCAAUCUUUUUUCCAGGUUGACCUCGGAUCAGGUAGGGAUACCCGCUGAACUUAAGCAUAUCAAUACGCGGAGGA
rnacentral:misc_RNA from 1 species